rnacentral:lncRNA from 1 species
GGACUGGCAAAGACAUUCGCGACACCGUUUUUUUUUUUUUUAAAAAAAAACUUCUUAUUCUAGUAAUAUUAACUAUAAAUAUGUUCAAAUUACACAGAUUCACCUCCCCAAUUUUAUUUUAUUUUUUGGAAAAUAUAAUACUGGCCUCUCCAAAAUAUUUUUAUUUAAGCUACACAUAUAGUUUUGUCUCCCUAGGGUUCAGAUCCUGCUUGUGAAUUUGAAUCUGAUCAUACUAUAACACCCCAACUAGCUUAAGUAGAGCACAAAUCAACUAUAUUC